GACGAACCGUCCGAACGUUAUUCGGAAUUAUUGGGCUUAAAGGGUGCGUAGGCGGCGCUGUAAGUCGGGUGUGAAAUCCCACGGCUCAACCGUGGAACUGCGCCCGAUACUGCAGUGCUCGAGGGAGACAGAGGUAAGCGGAACUGAUGGUGGAGCGGUGAAAUGCGUUGAUAUCAUCAGGAACACCGGUGGCGAAAGCGGCUUACUGGGUCUCUUCUGACGCUGAGGCACGAAAGCUAGGGUAGCGAACGGGAUUAGAUACCCGUGUAGU
rnacentral:rRNA from 1 species